GUUGAAACCCCGGUUCCCGUACAAUCACCGAAGUUAAGCAACAUCGACCCUGGUCAGUAUCUAGAAGCGUGAUCACUUGAGAAUACCAGGUGUUGUU